rnacentral:rRNA from 1 species
AAUUUUAAAUCCUAAUUUUGAAUUACAGUAUGUGUACUGCCGUAAUGAUGUAAUUUUAUUGAAUUAUGUAAUAUAUUUAUAUAAAUAUAUAAUCAGGUCUAAGUGCAGCUUAUAAUUAGGUGUUAUAUGUGCUACAUUUAUAUAGUCAUUCAGUUAUAUUUUAAAAUUUAUAUAAGGAGAACUUGAUAGUAAUU